GACGAACCGUGCGAACGUUGUUCGGAAUCACUGGGCUUAAAGGGCGCGUAGGCGGGCCGCCAGGCCCGCGGUGAAAUCCCCCGGCUCAACCGGGGAAGUGCCGCGGGGACCGGCGGUCUGGAGUGAGAUAGGGGCGUGCGGAACUGUGGGUGGAGCGGUGAAAUGCGUUGAUAUCCACAGGAACUCCGGUGGCGAAGGCGGCACGCUGGAUCUCUACUGACGCUGAGGCGCGAAAGCCAGGGGAGCGAACGGG
rnacentral:rRNA from 1 species